AACGAACGCUGGCGGCAGGCUUAACACAUGCAAGUCGAACGCCCCGCAAGGGGAGUGGCAGACGGGUGAGUAACGCGUGGGAACAUACCCUUUCCUGCGGAAUAGCCCCGGGAAACUGGAAUUAAUACCGCAUACGCCCUACGGGGGAAAGAUUUAUCGGGGAAGGAUUGGGCCGCGUUGGAUUAGCUAGUUGGUGGGGUAAAGGCCUACCAAGGCGACGAUCCAUAGCUGGUCUGAGACGAUGAUCAGCCACAUUGGGACUGAGACACGGCCCAAACUCCUACGGGAGGCAGCAGUGGGGAAUAUUGGAGGAUGGGCGCAAGCCUGAUCCAGCCAUGCCGCGUGAGUGAUGAAGGCCUUAGGGUUGUAAAGCUCUUUCACCGAUGAAGAUAAUGACGGUAGUCGGAGAAGAAGCCCCGGCUAACUUCGUG
rnacentral:rRNA from 1 species